rnacentral:rRNA from 1 species
ACGGAAGGCAGCAGUGAGGAAUAUUGGUCAAUGGACGGAAGUCUGAACUAGCCAAGUCGCGUGAAGGAUGAAGGUUCUAUGGAUUGUAAACUUCUUUUGUCUGAGGGUAAAGUGCAGUACGUGUACUGUUUUGCAAGUAUCAGACGAAUAAGCAUCGGCUAACUCCGUGCCAGCAGCCGCGGUAAUACGGAGGAUGCGAGCGUUAUCCGGAUUUAUUGGGUUUAAAGGGUGCGUAGGCGGAAUGUUAAGUCAGUGGUAAAAGCGUGUGGCUCAACCAUACCAAGCCAUUGAUACUGGCGUUCUUGAGUGUAAACGAGGUAGGCGGAAUAUGACAUGUAGCGGUGAAAUGCUUAGAUAUGUCAUAGAACCCCGAUUGCGAAGGCAGCUUACCAGCAUACAACUGACGCUGAGGCACGAAAGCGUGGGUAUCAAACAGGAUUAGAUACCCUGGUA